rnacentral:rRNA from 1 species
GUAGGGAGCAAGCGUUGUCCGGAAUUAUUGGGGGGCGUAAAGAGCGCGUAGGGUGGGUCAGGGUAAGUCAUUUGUUUAAUCCGUAAGCUUAACUUACGUUCAGCAAGUGAAACUAUCUGACUUGAGUAUAGGAGAGGAAAGUGGAAUUCCCAGUGUAGCGGUGAAAUGCGUAGAUAUUGGGAAGAACACCGGUGGCGAAGGCGACUUUCUGGACUAAUACUGACACUGAGGCGCGAAAGCCAGGGGAGCGAACGGGAUUAGAUACCCCGGUAGUCCUGGCCGUAAACGGUGAACACUAGGUGUAGGGGGGUUCGACCCUUUCUGUGCCGAAGCUAACGCAUUAAGUGUUCCGCCUGGGGAGUACGCUCGCAAGGGUG